UACGUAGGGUGCUAGCGUUGUCCGGAAUUAUUGGGCGUAAAGAGCUUGUAGGCGGACUGUCACGUCCGCUGUGAAAUGCUAGGGCUUAACCCUGGCCUUGCAGUGGAUACGGGCAGACUAGAGGUAGGUAGGGGAGAAUGGAAUUCCCGGUGUAGCGGUGAAAUGCGCAGAUAUCGGGAGGAACACCGGUGGCGAAGGCGGUUCUCUGGGCCUUACCUGACGCUGAGGAGCGAAAGCGUGGGGAGCGAACAGG
rnacentral:rRNA from 1 species